rnacentral:rRNA from 1 species
UACGUAGGGUGCGAGCGUUAAUCGGAAUUACUGGGCGUAAAGCGUGCGCAGGUGGUUUCGCAAGUCGAGUGUGAAAGCCCCGGGCUCAACCUGGGAAUGGCAUUUGGGACUGCAAGGCUUGAGUGCGGCAGAGGAGACUGGAAUUCCUGGUGUAGCAGUGAAAUGCGUAGAUAUCAGGAGGAAUACCGAUGGCGAAGGCAGGUCUCUGGGCUGACACUGACGCUCAUGCACGAAAGCGUGGGGAGCAAACAGG